rfam:Zunongwangia atlantica 22II14-10F7 contig5, whole genome shotgun sequence.
GGGGUCGACUUGGUUUUGACAGCGAGUCUAAUUGAGUUGUAAGCACGCCGAGCGCUGGAAUAUAGCUCGUAAAUCUCAUAUUUCACACUUUUUUAAACGGCGAGAAUAACUACGCCUUGGCUGCGUAACCGAAUUAUAGUAGGUUUUGCUUAGUCCCUACAAGGUAGGGAGCCGAGAUGUCUCGUGGAAGCCUUGAUUUACGGCGUCCACACCAGAGGCACCGAUAAAGUAAAUAUAGAGACUGCAGGGCCUUGAUGCAGUUUUGAAAUUUAAUUGAGGAUACGGAAAUAAUUAGGUUGUUUUUGGCCAGAUUAUUUCUCGACAAUCCAAGCGAAAACUAAGCGUGUAGAAAGCUUCUGAAUUGCUUGUUUGGACGAGGGUUCGAACCCCUCCGACUCCACUU